GUUUCAAACAAGUAUUUGCUGUGUUGCCAAAGUAGAAAGAGCAGAAGGGAAACAUCAUGGGAAGAAAGACUAUUUUGUUUCUGAUUGCAGGGGUCCUUGGGGCAUAUUAUGUUUAUACUCCUCUCUCAGAUAAUAUUGAGGAACUCUGGUGACUGGUGUGGAUAGCUACACCUGUGAAAAUGGUAACAAAUUUGCUUUGUUUAAUUAUGACUUUCUGUCAAGAUGAACAGCUGAUAGACUUAAUGCUGUUGUUGUAUCAACCAACUACAGAAUAGCACCUAAAUAUCAUUUUCCAGAUCAAUUUGAAGAUGUAUAUAAUGCACUAAGAUGGUUGUUAUGCCAAGAUAUUCUUGAAAAAUAUCGUAGAGAGCCUAAAAGAAUUGGCAUUUCUGGAGACACUGCUGGUGGAAAUUUAGCUGCAGCAGUGACCCAACUGCUCAUAGAAGACCCAGAUGUCAAGAUCAAACUCAAGCUUCAGUCUUUAAUAUAUCCUGCCCUUCAGACGCUUGACAUGGAUUUACUAUCACAUCAGAAAAAACUAGACUCUCUAGUUCUGUCCAAACCAUUCAUGGUCAGGUUCUGUAGGGAAUACUUUACCACAGACAGAUCACUUGAAAAAGUCAUGUUCUUCAACAUGUACCAAUGGAAUCAAA
ensembl:lncRNA AADACP1 arylacetamide deacetylase pseudogene 1